AUUGGGAGUUUCUACAAACACAUUCUCUCAA
rnacentral:piRNA from 1 species